rnacentral:rRNA from 1 species
UACGUAGGUCCCGAGCGUUGUUCGGAUUUAUUGGGCGUAAAGCGAGCGCAGGUGGUUUAUUAAGUCUGGUGUAAAAGGCAGUGGCUCAACCAUUGUAUGCAUUGGAAACUGGUAGACUUGAGUGCAGGAGAGGAGAGUGAAUUCCAUGUGUAGCGGUGAAAUGCGUAGAUAUAUGGAGGAACACCGGUGGCGAAAGCGGCUCUCUGGCCUGUAACUGACACUGAGGCUCGAAAGCGUGGGGAGCAAACAGG